rfam:Schistosoma margrebowiei strain Zambia genome assembly, scaffold: SMRZ_scaffold0000605
GCACUGCUGAGGAGUCUUACAGCAGGACGAAACGGCUGUCCAGUGC